UCAAGUUAUUAAGGGUGCAGGGCGGAUGCCUUGGCACCGGGAGCCGAUGAAGGACGUGAUAAGCUGCGAUAAGCUAUGGGGAGUUGCACGUAAACUUUGAUCCAUAGAUUUCCGAAUGAGGAAACUCACCAUGAGUAAUGUCAUGGUAUCUUCGAGUGAAUACAUAGCUCGUUGAGGGGAACUCGGGGAACUGAAACAUCUAAGUACCCGAAGGAAGAGAAAGAAAUUCGAUUCCGCUAGUAGCGGCGAGCGAACGCGGAACAGCCCAAACCUAAGAAGUUCGCUUCUUAGGGGUUGCGGACAUAUCAUCAGGAAGAGGUUAUUACAGACGAAGAGUUUUGGAAAGCUCCGCCAUAGAAGGUAACAGCCCUGUAGUCGAAGUGAGAAGACUUCCGAUAUGAUCCAGAGUACCACGGGACACGUGAAACCCCGUGGGAAGCAGGAGGGACCACCCUCCAAGGCUAAAUACUACCCGGUGACCGAUAGCGCAUAGUACCGUGAGGGAAAGGUGAAAAGAACCCCGGGAGGGGAGUGAAAUAGAACCUGAAACCCUGUACUUACAAACUGUGGAAGCACAUUUCUUGUGUGACCGCGUACUUUUUGUAGAACGGGCCAACGAGUUACGUUAUGCAGCAAGGUUAAGUACUUCAAGUAUGCAGCCGCAGCGAAAGCGAGUUUUAACUGAGCGUUUAGUUGCAUGACGUAGACCCGAAACCGGGUGACCUAUCCAUGAGCAGGUUGAAGCGAAAGUAAAAUUUCGUGGAGGACCGAACCCACGAGCGUUGAAAAGCUCGGGGAUGACUUGUGGAUAGCGGUGAAAUUCCAAUCGAACCCGGAGAUAGCUGGUUCUCCCCGAAAUAGCUUUAGGGCUAGCCUCAGAUUCAGAGAUACGGAGGUAGAGCACUGAAUGUCCUAGGGGGUAUUGCACCUACCGAAGACUAUCAAACUCCGAAUGCCGUCAUCUUUUAUCUGGGAGUCAGACCGUGGGUGAUAAGAUUCACGGUCGAGAGGGCAACAGCCCAGACCGUCGGCUAAGGUCCCCAAAUGUAGGUUAAGUGGUAAAGGAUGUGGGAUUGCACAGACAACCAGGAUGUUGGCUUAGAAGCAGCCACUCAUUCAAAGAGUGCGUAAUAGCUCACUGGUCGAGUGAUCCUGCGCCGAAGAUUUCCGGGGCUAAAACCUACUACCGAAGCCACGGCAUCAUUUAUGAUGGGUAGGGGAGCUUUCUUUACUGGGCAGAAGCAUGACCGUAAGGACAUGUGGACUGUAAAGAAGUGAGAAUGUUGGCAUGAGUAGCGAGAUGUGGGUGAGAAUCCCACAGGCCGUAAACCCAAGGUUUCCAGGGGAAGGUUCGUCCUCCCUGGGUUAGUCGGGACCUAAGCCGAGGCCGAAAGGCGUAGGUGAUGGACAACAGGUUGAAAUUCCUGUACCGCCAAUAAGCGUUUGAGAAAUGGGAUGACACAGUAGGACAGGAUGAGCGUGCUGUUGGUUAUGCACGUCCAAGCACUGAGGCAGUAUCCGGAGGCAAAUCCACGGAUAUAAUGCUGGGGUGUGACGGGGAGCGAAAUUUAGUAGCGAAGCAUCUGCAUUCACACUGUCGAGAAAAGUCUCUAUCGAGUUUAAAGGCGCCCGUACCGCAAACCGACACAGGUGGGUGAGGAGAGUAUCCUAAGGCCAGCGAGAGAACUGUUGUUAAGGAACUCGGCAAAAUGACCCCGUAACUUAGGGAUAAGGGGUGCCAUCGAAAGAUGGCCGCAGAGAAUAGGCCCAAGCGACUGUUUACCAAAAACAUAGGUUUCUGCUAAGUCGCAAGACGAUGUAUAGGAGCUGACGCCUGCCCGGUGCUGGAAGGUUAAGGGGAUCUGUUAGAGCAAUCGAAGCAGUGAACUUAAGCCCCAGUAAACGGCGGCCGUAACUAUAACGGUCCUAAGGUAGCGAAAUUCCUUGUCGGGUAAGUUCCGACCCGCACGAAAGGCGUAACGAUUUGGGCACUGUCUCAACAACAGACUCGGUGAAAUUGUAAUUCCGGUGAAGAUGCCGGAUACCUGCGACAGGACGGAAAGACCCCAUGGAGCUUUACUGUAGCUUGGCAUUGGGUCUUGGUACUACAUGUACAGCAUAGGUGGGAGGCUUUGAUUCCAGGACGCCAGUUUUGGAUGAGCCACCGUUGGGAUACCACCCCUGUAGUACUGGGACUCUAACCAGAGGCCUUGAAUCAGGUCUUGGGACACUGUCAGGCGGGCAGUUUGACUGGGGCGGUCGCCUCCCAAAAGGUAACGGAGGCGCUCAAAGGUUCUCUCAGCACGGUCGGAAAUCGUGCACAGAGUGUAAAGGCAUAAGAGAGCUUGAUUGCAAGACAUACAGGUCGAGCAAGGACGAAAGUCGGACUUAGUGAUCCGGUGGUUCUGAGUGGAAGGGCCAUCGCUCAACGGAUAAAAGCUACCCUGGGGAUAACAGGCUUAUCUCCCCCAAGAGUCCACAUCGACGGGGAGGUUUGGCACCUCGAUGUCGGCUCAUCACAUCCUGGGGCUGUAGUAGGUCCCAAGGGUUGGGCUGUUCGCCCAUUAAAGUGGUACGCGAGCUGGGUUCAGAACGUCGUGAGACAGUUCGGUCCCUAUCCGUCGCAGGCGUAGGAAAUUUGAGAGGAUCUGCCCUUAGUACGAGAGGACCGGGGUGGACGUACCGCUGGUGUACCAGUUGUCUCGCCAGAGGCAUGGCUGGGUAGCUAUGUACGGAACGGAUAAGCGCUGAAAGCAUCUAAGCGCGAAGCCAGCCUUAAGAUAAGAUUUCCCAUUCUUCGGAAGUAAGACCCCAUGAAGACUACGUGGUUGAUAGGUCGGAGGUGGAAGUGCAGUAAUGUAUGCAGCUUACCGAUACUAAUAGGUCGAGGACUUGACCAA
rnacentral:rRNA from 1 species